rnacentral:vault_RNA from 1 species
GAGCCGGCGUAGCUCAGUGGUUACUUCGAACAACAAUUCUUUCAAAAUUCUGCUCUCUCUCCCUCCCCGGGAUCGAACCACGGGCGCUGUCCAGCGUUUUC